rnacentral:rRNA from 1 species
AAUAAGAGCCAUAUCACCCUGUAGCCCAAGACUGGUCACCCACUGAAGCUAAGCAGGGUUAAGCCUGGUCAGUACCUGGAUGGGAGACCUCCUGGGAAAACUAGGUUGCUGUUGGAA